rnacentral:ncRNA from 1 species
UUCGACAAAGGCAAACCCUGAGUGAUCAGGGGACGCAAAGGAAAGGGUCUUCAUAAAUAUUUUCCUGCAAAGGCAGGGAAGUACAAAGACAGCCUUACUACCGAAA